AUACGGAGGGGGUUAGCGUUGUUCGGAAUUACUGGGCGUAAAGCGCACGUAGGCGGAUUGGAAAGUUGGGGGUGAAAUCCCGGGGCUCAACCCCGGAACUGCCUCCAAAACUAUCAGUCUAGAGUUCGAGAGGGGUGAGUGGAAUUCCAAGUGUAGAGGUGAAAUUCGUAGAUAUUUGGAGGAACACCAGUGGCGAAGGCGGCUCACUGGCUCGAUACUGACGCUGAGGUACGAAAGUGUGGGGAGCAAACAGGAUUAGAUACCCUGGUAGUCCACGCCGUAAACGAUGGUUACUAGCUGUUUGGACCUUGUGUCUGAGUGGCUAAGCGAAAGUGAUAAGUAACCACCUGGGGAGUACGUUCGCAAGAAUGAAACUCAAAGGAAUUGACGGGGGCCCGCACAAGUAGUGGAGCAUGUGGUUUAAUUCGAAGCAACGCGCAGAACCUUACCAACCCUUGACAUCCUGUGCUACUACCAGAGAUGGUACGUUCCCUUCGGGGACGCAGUGACAGGUGCUGCAUGGCUGUCGUC
rnacentral:rRNA from 1 species